CCCUUAGAUGUUCUGGGCCGCACGCGUGCUACACUGAGUGGAUCAGCGGGUCAGGUUGCGCGAAAGUGUUUCCUAAUCGUUAAAUCCGCUCGUGAUGGGGAUUGACGGUUGCAAUUUUCCGUCAUGAACGAGGAAUACCUUGUAAGCGCGGGUCAUCAUCCCGCGCUGAAUACGUCCCUGCCCUUUGUACACACCGCCCGUCGCUCCUACCGAUUGAGUGGUCCGGUGAGGCUUUGGGAUCUGAGCGGAAAGAGCGUUUCGCUGUUUCUGCCCGGAAAACUCAGUCGAACCUUAUCAUUUAGAGGAAGGAGAAGUCGUAACA
rnacentral:rRNA from 1 species